GCCUCGGUAGCUCAGUUGGUAGAGCAGCUGGCUCUUAACCAGCGGGUCCAAGGUUCGAGCCCUUGCCGAGGCA
rnacentral:tRNA from 1 species